rnacentral:rRNA from 1 species
AACGAACGCUGGCGGCAGGCCUAACACAUGCAAGUCGAGCGAGGACUUCGGUCCUAGCGGCGGACGGGUGAGUAACGCGUGGGAACGUGCCCUUUGCUUCGGAAUAGCCCUGGGAAACUGGGAGUAAUACCGGAUGAGCCCUUUGGGGGAAAGAUUUAUCGGCGAAGGAUCGGCCCGCGUUGGAUUAGGUAGUUGGUGGGGUAAUGGCCUACCAAGCCGACGAUCCAUAGCUGGGUUGAGAGGAUGAUCAGCCACACUGGGACUGAGACACGGCCCAGACUCCUACGGGAAGCAGCAGUGGGGAAUCUUAGACAAUGGGGGAAACCCUGAUCUAGCCAUGCCGCGUGAGCGGUGAAGGCCUUAGGGUUGUAAAGCUCUUUCAGCUGGGAAGAUAAUGACGGUACCAGCAGAAGAAGCCCCGGCUAACUCCGUG